GAAAGGAUGCUGAAUCCCUUUCUCCUUUUAAGCAUUCAAACUUAAAUCUUUCCCAUUCUGCCAUAAUAACAAACGUACAACACCAUUAUUUUCUCUCUAGCUAAUUAUUUUGUUGUUUCAAUAUGCAAAGAAGCAAUAACGUGACUUCCAUUUAUAUGGAAACAACGCAGUUUUAAAUUGAUAGAGUACCAACGUGACUUGAUAUUUUACGGAAGAAGAUUAAAUCUUGCAGAUAAGGGUUGGCAUAUUAAUUGUGGAAGUUCGUGGUUGGACUGAGUUCUUGAAUAACGUGAGGUACAGAGACUCGUUUUGGUGAGCCGCCAGCUUAAGAUUUCCCCUCUGCUAUCUUGGAGAGUUCCGUUGUUCCGGAGCCCAGACUUUGGUACAGAUCCUUCUUGAUCUAAAUUUAUGCAUAUGUUGGCUAAGGGUACGACGGGGCCCUGUCUCGUCAUAUUUUACUGUUGAAACUCUUAGAGGUCUGUGGACAUGUGUGUGGGUCGUAUUCAGACGUGGUCAGUUGUGCCCAUAUGGUUAUUGUGGAUGUUCUAGCGCUGUAGCAGCCUUGCCGGCUUGCAUAUACUGUCGUUUUGUUGUGGCAGCCUCGCCGGCUUGCAUAUAUAUUGUUAUGUUGUGGUAGCAGCCUUGUCGGCUUGCGUUCAUAUAUAUAGUUGGGACGUUCCCACCCGUUAUGACAGCCUUGUCGGCUUAUGUACUGUGUUAUCUGUUGAUAGUUGUGAUUCCUCAGGAGACAGGUUGCCGAACAUA